AAAUGGGUGAUGUUGAGAAAGGCAAGAAAAUUUUUGUACAGAAGUGUGCCCAGUGCCACACUGUUGAGAAGGGAGGCAAGCACAAGAAUGGGCCAAAUCUCCAGGGUCUCUUUGGGCGGAAGACAGGUCAGGCCACUGGCUUCUCUUACACAGAUACCAACAAGAACAAAGGUAUCACCUGGGGAGAGGAUACACUGAUGGAGUAUUUGGAGAAUCCCAAGAAGUACAUCCCGGGAACAAAAAUGAUCUUUGCUGGCAUCAAGAAGAAGGGAGAAAGGGCAGACUUAAUAGCUUACCUCAAAAAGGCUACUAAUGAGUAAUAGUCACUGCCUUAUUUAUUACAGAACAGAAAUGUCUCAUGGCUUUUGUAUGUGUACCAUAAUUUAAUCUCAUACACCAGAAUUCAGAUCAUGAGUGGCUGAUAGAAUAUUUUUGUUGGACAGUCCUGAUUUAAAUAAAAUUGGCUUGU